AGCAGAAUAAUAAAACAUUUAUAUUAAAGGUUCAUGCUUUCAUGGAAUGCAUCACAUCACAAUUAAUCAUAUCAAGGAUGAACUUGUCACCACUUAGCCCUCUACAUUUUCCAAUCAUGCCAGGGGCGUAGUGCAGGCCACACCUGGUCUUCCUCUUAUACAUAACAUAUCAUACAUGACCAACUGUGCCGGGGGCGUAGUGCAGGCCACACCCGGUCUUUCUCUUAUAUAGUGCCAGGGGCGUAGUGCAGGCCACACCUGGACUUCCAUAUCAUAUCAUCAUAUCAUAGCAUAUGAGGGCUAAUGGAUCAUUCAACAUUCAUCCA
rnacentral:lncRNA from 1 species